rnacentral:misc_RNA from 1 species
UGAUUCCUUGAUUUGUUUGUUCUAGGUCCACGAUUCUGCUCACCCAAAGCAUCUGGACCUCCAUUUACAUCAUUGAGAGUUCUACCAACAUGAAUCUUAGAUCGAAGCUUAUCCACUGCAGCCCUUCCAGGAGCACUUGAUCCAAAAUCAGAAAAGCUGGUUCUAUUCAACCUGACAGCAACUUUUAAUUGGUUAGAAUGAGGUAGGACCUUCCCAUUGGAAAAGAUAUCAACAGGUUGAAUAGAACCAGAAGCAACUCUACCCUGAUGCAUGCGUGAAGAAGCCGGAAUAGGAAAACAACCAGAAGAAACACUUCCUUGUGUCAGAGACUGCUUGCUAGGUCCAACAAUAACUCUUGGCUCUUCUGAAAUCUUGGACAUGGUAUUAGUCUGAUUUGAAGUGGGUUUUGAUUGGAAUUUGGGAAAGGCUGCAGAUGAUGAAGCAAUACCAUGUUUUGAACUUCUUCCAUCAGGUCCAUUGGUAAAUGCUACACCUGCUGCAUCUAGCAAGGGGUCUGUUGAAUUGUUUGGAAUGAAAUCCGGUUGAACAACAACAGGAACAUAACCAGGUGAAGAUACAGGGUCCUGAUAAGAAGGCAUGGCAUAAUACUGUUGUGGUCCCACAUAAGGGCCAUCAACGCCUAUCAUAGCACCAGGUAUGUAAGGAUUGUACGGGUUAUAAGGAGACUGUGCAUAUCCAUAGCUAGGGGUAUAAUAUACAUAAGGUAAAGUUUCAGUUUGUGCACCCGCAUACUGGAUUUCCAGACCAUCUGACACCAAAAAUCCUAUGGUGGUCCUCCCAUUCACCGGGUGAUUCAAAUCCUGUACAGUAGUAUCCAUAAUUGGUGGCAGUAGGAUAAUACAAGCCCUGAUCCAUAAAAAAUUCGGGGGCUCCUUCGUUGUACAUAGUUUCAACUUGUUCAAGAAGUGGACUUGUCAAACAGGGUUUAUCUCAGCACUUUGAAUCAUAGAAAAGCGGAAUCAAGCCAGGCUUGACCUAGAAAGUUCUUCGAAGGAAAUAUUAAUAAAUUUGAAAAGAAAAUAAGAAAUUACCCGCAACAUUUGUUUUUAGAAAUUUCAAA